UACCGUGAAUUGACUUAUGAGUAUUGUAUAGAACAUGCAAAUCACAUUCCCUAAAAAAAUGAUUUACGUCAAUGAUGAUGUACUGUAGACGUGAGGCUGGAAAAUUCUUACUUCUUGCCAUUCUUCAUGCAGUCAAAAUGUCUUUAAAAAUAUGCAGGAAUUUGAUCCAGAAGCUCAGCCCCUCUAUCAUGGACACUGUUCUGAAGGGUACAUUCAAUGCUACUUUAAUUAACCCACUCCUGAACUCGCUGCCAGUCCCAACACAUCCUGACCCGCCAUUAUUCCAGGACAUCUGACCCAGAUCUGACUUUCAAAUCAUGUCAAAUGACUAAGGUAAACAGAUGAAGAGAAGUGGAGUAUUUUUUGAGACAAAGAGAAACAUACACCUCCUCACCACGGCUCUCAAAGAAACUGCCUUAAAGUGCUUCAAAUGGAAGAGAUUCUUCAAAAAGAAACAGCUGUCCCACGUAAGCUUUCAGCGUUGUCGUCAUUUAAUGCAGAUUAUUUCGCCUGUUUGCACCCAUCUGACUGAUUUUGCAAUUGAAAUGGACCAGCCAGAGCCACUGUACAGAAACAAGGCUGUAUUUGGGACGUUAAUCUUUUUUUCUGAUGAUUCUAUUAGUUAGUCAGUCUUCCAUGUCAUUAUCCAGGAACAAAACUAAUAAAUAAAUGGUGUUUCUCUUACCUUUGCCUUUCUCUCUGUAAGUGUUUGAUCUUUCCUGAAGGUUUUUUUUGCACUAGGAUUCACAAUCUCUCUCUGGGUCUUUCAGACCUUUGCCCCUUCAGAUGCAAUUGCAUCUGGUUUCUCCUCUCUUUCAGCCCAAAUCCUCCGAGGGGAUGGGUUCCCCCUAAUUCUUUCCCCUCCCAACCACAUCCCGGUCCCAGCAUCACCCAAUCCCUUCACCUUCACCUGGUCCCUGGAAUUUCUGUCUUAAACUCUUCAAGCUCUCUACUUGUCUCUCUCCUCUGGAAGCCACUCCUUUGAAAACUAUGUCUUCCACCACACGUCUGCCCACCUAAUAAAUAGGUGUUAGAUGGCUGACAUGGACAUGACGGGUCGAAGGGCCUCGUUCCCUUUCUAAGUGGACCUUUCAAAUUUCAAAUCUAAUGUUGACCUCCCUUUUGUGCACCUUCUGUGUGUAGCCAUAACUUUGCAAUCCCCACUCUGUGCAAUCACUCUGCAAUUUUAGCACAAAGUCAUGCGGCAUCAGAUUUUAGUCUAACAGGUUUAUUUGAAAUCAGAUUUCACCUGAUGAAGGGGCCAUACUCUGAAAGCUUGUGAUUUCAAAUAAACCUGUUGUACCAUAACCUGGUGGCGUGUGAUUCCUGACCUUGUCCACCCCAGCCCAACACCGGUACCUCAGCUUCAUGAUCUUUGUAUGGUAAGAUCUGCCUGUACUGCAGGCAAAACAAAACUUUUCACCGUAUCCAGGUACAUGUGACAAUAAUAAAUCAAAUCAAAAUCAAAUCAAAUCAAAUUUCUGUACAGUAAAAUUCUAUCACUCUAUCUUUGUAUGUCUUCAUGGAUUUUGGUGUCAAAUUCCACUGACUAUUCUUACCAUCGAUGUGCUAUAUACAUGCAAGUUGUUGAGUAUUGAUUCCUGCACAGUGCUGUGGGAUGGUGAAGUUUUUUUCUCAUUCUCUGACAUACAAACCCCGCCAGGCUUGAUUACAGUAGAAAUGGUAUCAUCUCACCAACCCAACAUCAAAUCCUUCCUAAAUCCAGGAAUAUAGAAACAUGAGUCAAACAAUUGAGGAGACAGUGACCUAAGUAUUGUCACUGGACUAUUACGGCCCCCAACCUGAUAAUGGAAAUCUAGAUUUGAAUCCAUGGUGGAGUUUGAAUUCAACUAAAACGAAUCAAUGACAACCAUGAAUCCAUUAUUGAUUGUCAGAAAACCCCAUCUGGCUCAUUAUUGUUUUUAUGGAAGGAACGUGCCAUCCUUACCUGGUCUGGCCUCCAUGUGACUCCAGACCCACAGCAAUGUGGUUGUCUCUUAACUGCCCUCUUGGUAAUUAGGGAUGGGCAAUAAAUAUUGGCCUGGCCAGUGACACUCCUGUCCCAAGAGUGAAUUAAAGAAAGGUUGGUUGGCUCCCAUCAUCAUUACCCUAAUUUGGUUGAGUGUUUAGCACUGUUGCCGCACAGCGCCAGGACCCUAGGUUCGACUCCACUCUUGGGCGACUGACUGUGUGGAGUUUGCACAUUCUCCCCGUGUCUGUGUAGGUUUUCUGCAGUGUUCCAGUUUUCUCCCACAGUUCAAAGAUGUGCAGGUUAGGUGGCUUGACCGUGGGAAAUGCAGGGGUAGGAUAAAGGGUUUGGGUCUGUUUGGGAUGCUCUUUGAAAGGUCACUGUGACCUCAGUGGGGCAAUUGGCCUGCUUCCACACUGUAGGGAUUCUAUUCUACUCAGUUUGAGAAGCCAACACUCAGGGUUGGGCUCAUUAGCAUCAUUCAAGUGAAAUGCUAGUGACGGCCAGAGGACGCCAACAGUUUUAGGGACACUCUGAGACAGAACAUACUCCAGAAAAAGUUUCGACUUGUGGGUGAACCCAAAGCUAGCUGAUCAUAAGUCAUGGUCACCAGUAAAUCCAAUGGGAUGUCUAGGAGAAACCUCCUUACACUGAGGAUAUGGAUCUUACUAUAACAUGCGGCAUUGCAGUGAAUUGUAUAGAUGUACUUAAAGGGGAAGCUGGGUUAACACAGACAGAAGAGGAGAUUAGAAGGACACGUUGGCAAGAUGAGAGAAGGUAGGACAGGAGGUUUCUCCUAUGGAGAAUAAAAACCAGGGGCUGAAGGGCUUGUGUCUGCCCUGGAAAUACACUGUUGGCAGUAAAGGGUAAGAGGGGGCCUCCAGAAUCACAAACCCCUCUUACGGCCAUAAACAAUACCUGUGCACGUGACCCAUAUAAAUCACAUCAAAACUGCUCUCCCCACCCCCAACAAACGGAGAUGUCAUCAUCGUUUUUCAAGUAGCUUCUAGAAAUCUCUUCUCCACCUCCUCUGCACUCCUCAAAAUCUUCAGAAUUUGUUCCAGACUUCAGGUUCAAACUUAAGCCAUUGUAAUGGAGGGGUUUGGGGUAGGAUGAGCAUGUUUGACAGCAUGUUGAUUCGGUUGUUUAGCUAUUUCAAUAAUCGAAUGGAAAAUGAAUGAAAUCUUCAUAACUUUAGCCAUCAGAGGUGAAUGUGGGAACAAGGUGAAUGCUGACUUACUUCCUACAGUAAAUGGAUAUUAAAUGUUCUUUGGUUCUUUGACCUUAUGGUAUAGUUAUGUUUUUUUUGGUUGCCCAUUGCCUCAUAUGCUUCAUGUUAUGAGUUAGUAACAAAUGAUUGUGAUACAUGUAUGCAGAAUGGCA